rnacentral:lncRNA from 1 species
CCAGUUCAUGAAGAGCCUUGGAAGUCACGACUGAGAACUGGGAAGGCUUAUACCACAGAGAUGAGAAGAAAAAGGUUUCCCCUUGAAUGCGAAGUCCAGCUGGAUGACUAUGGUUCCCUGGAAUUCACUGUGGAGGAGUAUCCCUGACUGGUGUUUAAGAUCAACGGAAAAGAAUUCUGCGAUGAGACAGUGACGUCUGUCAUAGGCAAAGGAACGAGGAAGUGGGGCAUGGUGGCAGAUAUUUGCCUUUCCUGCUAUAACCACUGGACCUACAAAGCACUUAUUACCAAUUUGAAACCAUAGAGAGUUGCCAAGUGUCAUUUUAAAUGCUAAGCCAAGCAGUUCCUCCAAACCUGUAGACCCCGACACUCUUUGAUGCUGUUAUCCCCACUAAAAAACAGUACAGGUGAGUCUCAGACUGAUGUUCAGUCAAAACAGUCUGCUAAAAUUACUAUUAUGCACAGGAAGUUCCCCCGAGAAAGCACCAGAAGGUGGACAGAAAGGCCAGUUAAGAGGGGAAGGUGCUACUGUCCUCUCAGAUGUGCUUUCUUCUGUAGAGCAAGGAAUAUAGCAGAAUACAUCUUUGGCAACUGAAGCAAAGAAGAUGUCCGAUUCAGAGUGGUUUUGUAGAGUUAGUCCUGAAGAGAAAUGCUUCCUUUUAAGCAAAUCUAUCACUACCACUCAUAUCAGUCUGGCCUAGCCUGACAAUAGCUGUGCCUACAACCACAGCUAGGGAGUGUCUCCACCUCUACCUCCCAUUGCCCAGCAUCUUUAGGAUAACUAUGGAGGCUAAUUCAUAGCCUGGGUUCAGCUUGGCAGCCCUUCCUAACAUCCUUAAGAACCACAAAAGGUUGGGAGCAAAAUCCUUGUCAUCUUUUCCUGCAGUUUAGACUGUGUGUGACUCGGCUCACAUGGAUGGUUUUUUGUUGUUGUUGUUGUAAUGAGUAGGAGACAAGGGAGUCCUGAGGCUCGAGGUCAAAAUGAAAUAUUUUUCUUUCAAAAUAGUCAUUGAAGGGAAGAAUACUGCGUAGUUUUAAAAUUGUAUUCUUAUUCAAGAUUGCUUCUUAAAAAAUGGCCAUACAAUAAUUUGGGUGUACAUGAAGGUUCACAUAUUGUAUGAUUCCAUUAUAUGUAAAAUAUCCAGAAUAAGUAAAUCUAUGGAGACAAAAAGUAAUUUUGUAGAUGCUAGGCACUAGGGGAAGAAGAAAAUAGGGAGUGACUGCUUAAUGGGUGUA